GAAAAAUUUGAUUCUGGUUUUUAUUGAUAUUUUUUUGGUAAUUAUAAUAUGUAAGUAUUUGCGUGAUUUUGGAUCUAUUUUAAUAAUGGUUUUAUUGUUUUAUUCGCAGUUUUUAAUAUUAUAUAUUAAAUAAUUUUAGAUAUAGUUAACUAUUAUAUGACUAGCAAAAAUUGUGCCAGCAGCUGCGGUUAUACAAUUAGUCAUAGUUAUCUUUUUUGGAAUUUUAUUUUAUCAGGUAUGUUAUAUUUUGACUAUAAUAUUUAAUUUUUAAAGUGAAAUUUAAUAUUAUUGUAAUUAGUUUGGUUAACUUGUAUUAUAAGAAAUUUUUGAAUUAAACUAGGAUUAGAUACCCUAUUAUUUUAAAUGUAAAUUAUUUUUUCAGUAUUAUAAGUUAUGAUCUUUAAAUUGAAAGAAUUUGACGGUAAUUUUAAUCAUUUUAGGGGAACCUGUUCUGUAAUUGAUAAUCCACGAUAAAUUUUACUUUGGUUUUGGUUUGUAUAUCUCUGUCUGAUUGAAUGUUUUAUUAGAAAAUUUUCUUGAAUUUUUAUUGAAUUAUAUGUCAGGUCAAGGUGCAAUUAUAUCAGAGUUUGAAAUGGGUUACAUUUAAUUUAUGAUUAUUGGAUUAGCUUUUGUAUUUUGGCUAUGAAAUUGGAUUUAAUUGUAAUGAACAAAAUAUUUUGUUCAUGAUAUAUGUUCUUGAUUAAGUACAUAUCGCCCGUCACUCUCAUUAUAAGAUGAGAUAAGUCGUAACAAAGUAGUCCUAUCGGAAGAUGGGGCUGGAAUUAUA
rnacentral:ncRNA from 1 species